GCUCUCUUUAUUUCAAGACAAUUAAGAAACAGAGUAGUCAAGCCACAAAAAAACAUUUCCUGAAGAUUGUAUGAAUGUGGAGCUGGAAUGUUAGAAUUCUUCUGUUCCUCUUUGAUGAUUUCCAGUGCUCCUUCAAUGGACACCUGAAGACAUCAUUUCACACAAAGAAAAUGUCUUAUUUAUUAAGGAACAACUAAAGCUCAACUAUUUUUAUACAUACACAACACAGAAAAAAAAGUACUGGGACACACAUAUUAAUUACUGAAUUCUGGAGUUUUAUUUACACCCACUUACAAAGUAGUAUAAAGUGUGUGAAAAGACCUCCAAGUACCUGUCUGAAUUACAGUGGUACUGUAAUAGAAUGCUACUAUUGCAACAAUUUCACCAUCAACUCUGAAUGAUUUUAUUGAAAAGUGAAAGUGUUUGUGAACCAUAGCAACUCACAUAAAGUUACAGUGCAAGGCUUCCAAAUGCUGAAACACUUAAAACUGAAUAAAAUGUACCAAUGCCCUGCUGACUCAAUAACUGUAGCUUUCCAGACCCACUGUUAGAGCUACAACUCCAGGGGGAACCAAUUCCAUAUUAAUGCUUAUGGAUUUAGAAUUGCAUGUCAUAAAAACUAAUAUCUGUGUAAUAUCUAGCUGUCCCAACACUUUUGUCCAAAUAAUGUUUUUGAUUAUUGAUACUUUAACAUAUUGCUAUUCUUGAAAUAAUCGCAAAAUCAAAUUUUAAAUUAAAUAUUAAACACCCUAAAGACCACUGAACUGGAACACCCUUCAAUAAAUGAUCAUAAUUCCAUAA